rnacentral:rRNA from 1 species
AAUAUUGUAAGUAUAUAAUAAUUACGAAAGCAAAAAAUUAUGGCGGUAUUUUAAGCUUUUCAGAGGAAUUUGCUCUUUAAUGGAUAAAACACCUAAAUCUUACUUAAGUUUGUCAAAUCAACUUGUAUACCACUAUUAAAACAAUUAUUAACUCUAAUUGUUAAUAUUUAAAACAUAAAUUAAUUUAAAUUAAGUCAAGGUGCAGUAAAAAUUUAAGAAUGAAGUGAAUUACAUUACUUUUAAGAGAAAUAAAAUUAAAUAAAAUUUAGGAUUUGAAAGUAAAAUUAAAAUAGAAUGUUAAUUUGAAUU